AAAUAUAAAAAACAUUAAAAAAAAAAACAAAACCUUAAUUAUUAUCAGAUCCCUCUCUCGCUCUCGCUCUCGCUCGUACUCUCUCUCACCUCACCUCUUUGAAGCCGCUGCCCACUGCUCAGAAAGUGGACGGCGAAGGUGAUUCGCUGCCAAGCGAUUUGACGACGACGGAAACGGCGACAACUUCUCCCCUACUCGCUGACGACGACGGCUAUCUCCUCCCUAAGUCGCCGACGACUUCUUCACCAACGAAGGAAGCGACACAGCUCCUCUCUCGCAAACGGCAGCAACUCAGAUCGGAGAUCGGAGAUCGGACACGAGGAAUUCUGUUUCAUUCAUUGCCGGAUUAACAAUUACUUCACUCACAAUAGCUACUCUACUUAAAUUAUCAACCUUAGAUCGGAGAUCGGGGAGUAGGAACUCCCUUUCACUCAUUUGUCGCGGAUAAACAAUUACUCCACUCACAACAGAAUUUGAAGAAAAGGGUUGAUAGGAGAAGCAAUGGAAACUAGAGAGCAUAAAGGAGGAGAAGAAGAUAAACAAGCAACUAGUACUAAUGAUGUGGGCUGGAGUGGAAUGUUGGUGAAUCAGUAUCGGAAAAUUAAAGAGAAUGCAGAAACAUACCCUUAUGUUUGGGGUUCCUACAUUGUUGUCUACGGGGGUUUUACUCUUUAUAUGGCUUAUAGAUGGAGGAAGCUAAGAAAGACCGAAGACAGAGUUCGAGUUCUUCAGGAAAGAUUGCGCAAGAUUGUUGCGGCUGAGGAGUCCUCAACAACCUCAACCUCAACCCCUGCAGGUGCCUCCUCCACCGAAAAUGUUCGACCACCUGUAAAGCCUUCAAAUGAGUGAAUAAUCUGCUGAUUUUGGUCAGUUUAUCCUUUCCCUGAAAAAGUUGCUUGGGGAUUUCAAAACAAGGGUCCUCACUUCUCGAUAAUUUAUUAUUUUUUUUUUAAGAAUGAAUAGAUUUGAGAGUAAAGCCCAUCGAUUUUGUCAGACUUGGUGGGUUAAUUUUGAACCAUAUAUAAAUGACUGUUUUACCAUAUAUAGAUGGUGGACUUGUACAAGCUUAUAAUGACGGUUGAGCUCAUGGUCCUUGUGUAAUUUACUUCCAGUGUAAUCUGUUUAAACCUUA